ACUACGGGAGGCAGCAGUGGGGAAUAUUGGGCAAUGGGCGCAAGCCUGACCCAGCAACGCCGCGUGAAGGAAGAAGGCUUUCGGGUUGUAAACUUCUUUUCUCAGGGACGAAGACAGUGACGGUACCUGAGGAAUAAGCCACGGCUAACUACGUGCCAGCCGCCGCGGUAAUACGUAGGUGGCAAGCGUUAUCCGGAUUUAUUGGGUGUAAAGGGCGUGUAGGCGGGAGCGCAAGUCAGCGGUGCAAACUCAGGGCUCAACCCUGAGCCUGCAUUUGAAACUGUGUUUCUUGAGUGCUGGAGAGGCAAUCGGAAUUCCGGGUGUAGCGGUGAAAUGCGUAGAUAUACGGAGGAACACCAGUGGCGAAGGCGGAUUGCUGGACAGUAACUGACGCUGAGGCGCGAAAGCGUGGGGAGCAAACAGGAUUAGAUACCCCGGUAGUC
rnacentral:rRNA from 1 species